AAAAGUCGUAACAAGGUAUCCGUAGGUGAACCUGCGGAUGGAUCAUUAAUAAUAUCCAACUGAGUUUUUAUUCUUUCGGGAAUGAAAAUUCAUUUUACCUGUGAACUGGAAAAUGAUGCUUGCAUUGUUUUCGCUUUGUACUAUUGUUUUAUUUUUUUAACUUGAAAUUUUAAGCGCAAGCUUGAAUUUUUAAAUUAAAGACAACUUUCAGCAAUGGAUCUCUUGGCUCUU
rnacentral:misc_RNA from 1 species